rnacentral:rRNA from 1 species
UACGUAGGGUGCAAGCGUUGUCCGGAAUUAUUGGGCGUAAAGAGCUCGUAGGCGGUCUGUCGCGUCUGCUGUGAAAACUCAGGGCUUAACCCUGAGCUUGCAGUGGGUACGGGCAGACUAGAGUGCGGUAGGGGAGACUGGAAUUCCUGGUGUAGCGGUGAAAUGCGCAGAUAUCAGGAGGAACACCGGUGGGCGAAGGCGGGUCUCUGGGCCGGUAACUGAC